UCUCUGUUGGUGAACCAGCGGAGGGAUCAUUACAGGACUCGCAAGACUCCUUCACCCUGUGAACCUCACUACAAGCACGUUGCUUCGGCGGGUGUCCCGGCGGGGGUUUUCCCUCGCCGGGGCGCACAGCCCGCCGGCAGCCUACUAUACUCUGUCUCUUUGCGUUGGCAUCUCGAGAAAAAACAAACAAGUUAAAACUUUCAACAACGGAUCUCUUGGUUCUG
rnacentral:misc_RNA from 1 species